ACUGAACGCUGGCGGCAUGCUUUACACAUGCAAGUCGAACGGUAACAGGCCGCAAGGUGCUGACGAGUGGCGAACGGGUGAGUAAUGCAUCGGAACGUGCCCAGUCGUGGGGGAUAACGCAGCGAAAGCUGCGCUAAUACCGCAUACGAUCUAUGGAUGAAAGCGGGGGACCGUAAGACCUCGCGCGAUUGGAGCGGCCGACGUCAGAUUAGGUAGUUGGUGGGGUAAAGGCUCACCAAGCCGACGAUCUGUAGCUGGUCUGAGAGGACGACCAGCCAGACUGGGACUGAGACACGGCCCGGAGUCCUACGGGAGGGAGAAGUGGGGAAUUUUGGACAAUGGGCGCAAGCCUGAGCCGGCAAUGCCGCGGGCAGGAAGAAGGCCUUCGGGUGGUAAACUGCUUUUGUACGGAACGAAACGGCUCUGGUUAAUACCUGGGGCUAAUGACGGUACCGUAAGAAUAAGCACCGGCUAACUACGUGCCAGCCGCCGCGGUAACAC
rnacentral:rRNA from 1 species